GCAUUCGCCAAGAGGCUCCCUGAUACCCCUCUACACAAAAUAGCAAUAUUAAGCAGCUGCAGCCAUAACAAAAUUUCAAUGAUGUCUGGUCAUCUCCAAAACCAUUCCAUUCCAAAGCUUCGAAUAGCCUACCAGGGUGUCCCGGGAGCGUAUGGGGAGGAUGCAGCGGUGAAAGCCUACCCGAAUUGCGAGACAAUCCAGUGCCAUGACUUUGUGGAUGCCAUACAAGCAGUGGUGGACGCAGGUGGAGGAGAAGAUGGAACGUUACUUUAAAAAAAUGCAAAGUGGUGGUUCUUCAUCUUCUUCAAGUGCUAGAAUUGUAGUUGAAUUGGAUUUGAAUGAUAUUGAUGCUGAUCCAGGAAAACGAAAGUCAAUAGAGGCUUUUCUGAAGCUAGCACCGACUUGCUAAAAUGCAUAGCGUGUCUUGAUCCAAGAAAUUCUUUCUCUGAAUUCAAUGAGCAUCAAGUCAUUCAUAUUGCUACUUUAUAUCCCGAUGACUUCUCUGCGAGCGAAUGUUUACAUCUUCCACGACAAGUUAGUAAUUUUAUUGCUAAUGUGCAGUGUGAUCCUCAAUUUGUUGCGCUUAGUGAUUUGGGAAGUUUUGCUAUGAAAAUGGUCAAAACUAAGAAGCAUUUAGUUUUUCCAUUGAUGUAUCGGAUUAUUGAGUUGGCCUUGGUUUUACCUGUUGCUACUGCUUCUGUUGAGAGAGCAUUUUCUGCAAUGAAGACUAUCAAGACUGAUUUACGAAAUCGAAUGGGAGACGAGUGGAUGAAUGACGGUCUAGUUGUGUACAUUGAGAAGGAUAUUUUUUCAACGAUUGAUAACGAGCCGAUCCUGCAGCGUUUUCAAUCGAUGAAAACACGUAGAAUUCAG